GUCAUUUUGCACGUGUACGUGCCUGAAAAAUUGUUUACGAGAAAUUGGAAGGCAUCCAUGCUGGGAUCCGAGUGACAUGCAAAAACAGAGAUCUUUUUAUGGAGGUCAGAUGUCUGAUGGGUGAACAAGUGGACCAAGCUUCAAGCAGAUCUCUUUCAAGAUGUUUGUUUUCCUUUGCAAUCCAGCUGUUAAUUGAACCAGGUAGACAAAGUCUUAAAUAAGCCAAGUUUUGUUUUAAUUCCAAGGUAGCAAAUGGGUGAUGCUGCUGACUUAGUUCAUGUAGCAUUAGUGCAUGUGGGACAUAAACUUGAAAUUCACCCCAGACAUGUAGUGUAUCAAUGUACUGUGGAUAAAGGUUGAUUUCUGUGUCACUUUUCAUUGUCUGUUGUCACAGUUGACUGUCUGACUUGCAAUUUUUUAAAAGGACAAGUUGCCAAGUACAUAAAUUAGCAUGUAUCUGGGAAAGAAGAUUGAUACAAGAAAAUAUGAAGGUGUGUGGGGAAUUGUUAAAUUCCAGAAAUUCCAAAGUGAAGUCUUAGCAAAACACCAUUGUUUUUAUCACCUCUGGAUGAGCCUGGAGGCUGAUGCUGGGUAGCAAUUCUAGUAAAGGAAGCUGCCCACAAUUGAGGCAUCUUCAUCAAAAAACACAGAAUCUGGCCAAUCUUAAGACAGAUAGGCAGAAUGAUUGACUUGUACCUGUCUGGUUGACUGUCUGUCAACUGAUUGUGACUGACUGAUUAUUGGAUGGUCAACUACAGUACCUACUUGUAAUUAAGAGACUGACAUAACUGACUUCCUGUCUAUUUGGCUGACUGAUAAACUAUCAGACUGGCUAGCUGACUAACUGAUUGAUCUACCAACUGAUUGAUUGGCUGACUAACAGACUGACUGACUCACCAAUUGAUUGACCAACUGGCUCAGUGGUUGACUGUCUCAAUGACUGGCUGCAUGAUAAUGCAACAGACUAACUGUUAAUCUGAGACUGAUUGAUAGGCUGACUGACAGAUAGACAGACUGACUGACUGGCUGGCUGCCUGCUUGAAUGACUGACUGUCAGGCUUAAGACUGUCUGGCAGACUGGCUAACAGAAAGUAACAGGGAUUGACCGACUGACUAACAGACUGACAAUUGACUGGGUGAUUGACUGGUACACAAAAUGACUGAUUGACUGAUGGACAGUCAUGAAGGCUGACAGGCAAUCAUUUACUACAAUUUCUGCCCAUUCACCCACAUGGCAGAUUACCCACAUUGAUCAAUUUUUGGAAUAAUGAGAAAAAAAUUUCAACAGAUCACCAGCACUGGCAGAUAACCUGCACUAAAAA